GGCCAUACCAAAUGCUUUGUGGACCUCCUCAGCCAAACCUGCUAAAAUAUAGGCAAAAGCUUCACAACGCAAUUUAGCCAUGGCAACCUCUGCAAUCCAACACUCUGCAUUUGCUGGGCAGACCGCUUUGAAGCAAUCAAAUGAGCUCGUCCGCAAGAUUGGUUCAUUCGGCGGCGAUCGCAUUUCCAUGCGCAGAACUGUCAAGAGUGCUCCACAAAGCAUUU
rnacentral:misc_RNA from 1 species